rnacentral:lncRNA from 12 species
AAAACAUAACUUAUCUAUAUAACUUACUAGCAAUAGUUGAAACACCAGUUAAAUACUCUAUGUGAAAGUGUGAGAAACACAAAUGGAAAAAACAGAGGAACUAGAACCACAAAAACUUCAAAGUCCAGUUCUGCAAUCUACUGAUGACUCUUGAUGUGUUUUUCUGUUCCUUAGUUUUUUCAUCCACAAAUUAUACAAUUAUAUUCAAAGGCAAUUAUAAAUAUUGAAAGUUAUGUGUUUAUAAUACUUAGAAAAACUUCUAGGCAUAUAGCAAAUUUAGGAAUAGGUAAUUGUUAUUAGAGUAUCUCACUUCGAUGUGUAGGGCAGUAGUUUUUUCUCAUUUUAGUUUUCUUUGUAGGACUCCUUUCCUUGGAGUUUUAGUGCUCGAUAUAUCUUCAAUAAAUGGAUGAAUACCAUGUGUCAGGUUUGUAUCUGCAUGAAGCAGGAGGACCCACCACAAUGCCUGUAAAGAAAUCUGCGAGUGGAGCACUCACUGAUAACAUGAGAACGACUGCUCACUGUCUCUCUUCUCCCACAUGACUAUUUCUCAAAAGUUCUGAAUAUGGCACACUAUGUCUUUGGUUUCUUUAGUUAUAAGAGUAAAACAAUCAAAUGGAAUAUUGAUUAAAAAAAAAAACAAAACAGUCACUAGUACAAGCAAAACUUUUCAAGGAUAGGUCAGAAUUCUGGGUUUACCAAUUACUAACAUAUUUGAGCAGAUAAAAUCUUUGUGAAUAUCCUCUUUUAUGAAAUAGAGGUAAUAGUAUCUCAGAGUAACAAACAUAUCUUUUAUAAAAGCCUAUACCUAUGAGUCAUACACAUAUAAACUUAUGUCAUAGAUCUUUAACUUAUUGAGAGAAUCAGAUAUUGUAUCAAAGAGGAAUUCAAACAGCAGGUACACACAUGAAUACACAACUAGAUGAAAAAUGAGUCUACCCAAAUUGACUAACUAUAGUUGUUUUGCACAUCUAUAGGCAAGAUUAAUUUGCAUGACCACCACUUUGAGACAUACAGAAUUGACAAACCCAAAUGAAUAAGUUUAGUUGAUCAACCACCUUAUUUUACCCAUUUUAAAGCCUCUCACUAUUUUUUCUGAUAGGGCCAUUUUGAUAAUUAAAUCAGGUGAUAUAUUAAAAGUAUUAAGCACAGUGCCUGAAAGAAAAUGCUAAAAAACGUGUUCGCUCUUAAAUUUCCUGUAACUUUUUAAAAAUUUGCUAGGACUUUUAAAAAGUACUCAAUUGAAACAUAAACUUGCAGGUAGUAGAGCAUUUUCAACCUAUAAAAACACCAGCAUCAGAUAGUUCAAAUUAUAACAAUUAUAGUCAUUUAGCAACAAGGAAACUGGUUCUAAUACCAAAAAAGUUUAAAAAGAUGUAAAACAAUUGUAUUUAUAUUGUGAAG